GCCUGGUUGGCUCAGUGGUUGAGCGCCUGCCUUCAGCCCAGGGUGUGAUCCUGGGGUCCCGGGAUUGAGUCCCACAUCAGGCU
rnacentral:tRNA from 1 species